UGUUUAAAUUUAUAAUGGGAUUUCAUGACUUUAGGGAAGGACAGACAUAAUGCGACUCGACAUGAUUUAUCCGAGUUUAAAAUAGUAAUAGAUUCAUUUAGUGACCUAAAAUAAUUCAUCCGGGUAACAUUUUUGCUUAAGAAAAGCAUUGAUCUGGGAAAACCUGAAACAAUGAAUACUCUUAUUAAGGCUUUGAAUAUGUUUGGGGCUAAUACCGAUUUUGCAGGAUCAUUAACAAAUAUAUUAUUAGAAAGUCAGUUUUUUGGUAAUGUCAUAAAACAGGGAAUAUCUCAUCAAUUGUACCAACUGACAAAAGUAAGGGAGACCAGCAAAGAUGGUUUUGGUUUCUUGGAAACCUUGACCUCGGUCAGUGAGUGUAAUUA